GUAUCACAGCUGUCUGUCAGAACACCGGGGACACGAGGUCUCACUCUGACGCAGAAAAACACAGCAGCGGGGGAACAGGAGGUCUCACUCUGACACACAGACUGUUCCAGGCAAAGCAGGCCACCGUACCGAGCUCUGCUGGAAAACGACACCGAGCACAGAAGCUGCUGCAGGUCACAGAAGCCUGACCGCUGCCAGUUGUCGAGUUGACCUCUGACCUUUCCUCUGACCUGUGAGGAGCAGGGGGGCGGAGUCUCUGUCAGCACAGGAGGAGGAGACACAGUUUAAAUUCUUCACGUUUGAUCCAGAAUGAAAAUCACGGAUUUAGAGGAGAAGAAUGAAGAGAAGCAGAGCAGCUGAUUGGUCGUUAAUCCCGUUACGCCUGAACGCACCUCAGGUGAGCCACUGAGCCUGUGCUGCCUUCAGGUACCUCAAGCUGUGACCUCUGACCUCACUCAACAGGAAGUGAGUGUGUGGGUUCAAAUGUACGCGACCGCCUGAUCCCCGAGGAUUUGACUCUGAAGGGUUUGAAGUCUGCAGGCGACCUUUGACCUCCAGGACACUUUGUAGCCAAAGAACAAGAACAAGAGUCACAGAACAGGAACCUCUUCAGGACCUGGACCGCAGGGUCUUCAGGUUCUGGACCACAGUGUCUGGGGCGUCAGGUGGAUUCAACUCACCUGCUGUGAUGACAGGUUUCCACCACAGUCAUGUGAUGAAUAAGUGACAGGCGAUGGACACGUCCUCUUCUGGAGGCAACAGAGAGACAAGUGGACACUUGAAGAGUGUUUGUCGUCGCCUGUGUUUGAAAAGUCUGGACUUUCACUUUCACUCUCUGUUCUUAUAUGAGAGGCUCGAUUUUAGCUACGUCACAUGACCGCGUCUUUAUCUACGUCACAUGAC